rnacentral:rRNA from 1 species
AGCCUGAACGCUGGCGGCGUGGCUAAGACAUGCAAGUCGUACGGUGUAGCAAUACACAGUGGCGAACGGGUGAGUAAUGAAUCGCUAACGUGCCCUGGACUUCGGGAUAGCUAUCCGAAAGGGUAGGUAAUACCGGGUGAUAUAACGCUCUCGCAUGAGAGUGUUCUCAAAGGUCCGCCGGUCUGGGAGCGGGCGAUUUCGUAUCAGCUAGUUGGUGGGGUAACGCCCACCAAGGCGACGACGCGUAGCCGGACUGAGAGGUUGGCCGGCCACAUUGGGACUGAGACACUGCCCAGACUCCUACGGGGGCUGCAGUAACGAAUCUUCCGCAAUGCACGCAAGUGUGACGGAGCGACGCCGCGUGUGGGACGAAGCCCUUCGGGGUGUAAACCACUGUCAGGGGCAGCCAAGAACUGAGGCGCCCAGAGGAAGGCACGGCUAACUCUGUGCCAGCAGCCGC